rnacentral:rRNA from 1 species
CGGACGGGUGAGUAACGCGUGGGUAACCUGCCUCAUACAGGGGGAUAACAGUUAGAAAUGACUGCUAAUACCGCAUAAGCGCACGGUGCUGCAUGGCACAGUGUGAAAAACUACCGGUGGUAUGAGAUGGACCCGCGUCUGAUUAGCUAGUUGGUGGGGUAACGGCCUACCAAGGCGACGAUCAGUAGCCGGCCUGAGAGGGUGAACGGCCACAUUGGGACUGAGACACGGCCCAAACUCCUACGGGAGGCAGCAUG